rnacentral:tRNA from 2 species
GGAGAGUUGGCUGAGUGGUCGAAAGCGCCUCACUGCUAACGAGGUGUCCCCUUACCGGGACCGUGGGUUCGAAUCCCACACUCUCCG